rnacentral:rRNA from 1 species
AAUGAACGCUGGCGGCGGGCUUAACACAUGCAAGUCGAACGAGUGGCGGACGGGUGAGUAAUGAUUGGGAAUCUAGCUUAUGGAGGGGGAUAACUACGGGAAAGUGUAGCUAAUACCGCGUACCUUAGGAUGAGGAAAAGUGGGAUUAGGUAGUUGGUGAGGUAAGGGCGCACCAAGACGACGAGCGCUAGCGGGGCUGAGAGGAUGACGAGCCACACGGGGACGUAGAAACGGCCCAGACUCCCAGGGGAGGACGCAGUGGGGAAGAUGGCGCAAUGGGGGCAACCUGACGCAGCCAUGCCGCGUGAAUGAAGAGGGCCUUCGGGUUGUAAAGUUCUAUCGGUAGCGAGGCGUUAACUACAGAAGAAGCACCGGCUAACUCCGUGCCAGCAGCCGCGGUAAUAC